rnacentral:lncRNA from 1 species
UAGCUCUGACGCCUCCGGCUUAGGCGUCUGUGGUCUGAGCAUGGUCUCAGCAAGCUAAGGAGAAGCCGGUGAUUCUGGUCGGUUCGUGAGCACUCUCGUAUCUGGGAGAAGCCAGCUCACAGCUAUGGAGGGCCCUGCUACAGGACCUCCCUAGCAUGUUUUUAAGGGAGACAGACUGUACUAUUGCAUGCUUUUUGAGACGUCAGCUUGAAUGGCUACAUCAUCCAGAUAGAAAUCAGUACUGAUUCUAAAUAAAUAAUAGGCCAAGCUGAAAAAAAAAAAAUCUCAAUCGUUCGAUCUGUGGGUGGUGGUGGGUGAGCAGCUGCUGUUUUAGAACUUUGAAUGUGGGUCCCUAGGCAUUAGCUUUAUUUAAAAUAGAGUAGUAGCACUUCACACUCUCUGAAAAGUUAAUAGCCCACCUUAAAGGAGACGGUAGCCCCGCAGCAUUUCUACAUGACUAAUGAUACUGCCCUUGUGGGAGGAGCCGUACAUGGCACUUUAGAGAACUCAGAGAAGACAGGGUUCCUCCCCAGCACCUUCCGUGAUGACUCGAGACGGGUAAGAGAUUGAUCAGCACAUGUUUGGGAACCUGAUGUGAAAGAGACAGGAGUGGGGACAGGGACUUAAGUCUUGAGCCAAACAUGCAAGAAAUCCCUCAGCUCCUUACGUGGGUGUGGUUGAAAGCAGCCGGAGUCACUUUUCCCUUCCCUCUGUUCUUUCAUCUGCUCUGUCCUCUACUCCUUCGUGCAGGGCAAUCAGGUCCAAAGUGAGACAGGAGGCGCUGGUCCCCACCGUCACGGUUCUGCCUCGAAGUUUCCCUGACUGGCCUGAAAAUGAGUGGCGAGGCUGCGUUGGUCAUGAGUACAGGCACCGUGCAUGAGCUGCCCCUGGUGGGACCAGCGUUUGAAGGAUUUCCUGCACUGAGUAUGAAGUCCUGUUGCUCUCUCCACACUGAUCUGGCUUUGGGAGUUUGGCGACCCCUCACUAAGAAUCACAGUGGACCACUGAAGGACUUCAAGAAAUAAUAGGCACGGAGCGCUGGAGGUGUGCUCCUGCCCAGGGGCACUCCCAGCAUGCGCUCUGACAGACCUGACAGAUCGGCUUUCUGCAAGGCCCGAUGUGGACUCCCUGGCUGUUUGCACGUGUGCACUCCACCACACCAGCUCCCUGGUCACCGGUGAGGUUAAGCACUUUUUUUCAUAUUUUGAUCAGUCCCUUGAAAUGUUUCUUUGGU